rnacentral:SRP_RNA from 1 species
GCUGGGCAUGGUGGCGCAUGCCUGUAAUUCCAGCUACUCGGGAGGCUGAGGCAGGAGAAUCGCUUGAACCCAGGAGGCGGAGGUUGCAGUGAGCUGAGAUUAUGCCAUUGCACUCUAACCUGGGUGACAGAGCAAAACUCUGUCUCAA